rnacentral:rRNA from 1 species
CUACAGGAUUCCCCUAGUAACGGCGAGUGAAGCGGGAUGAGCUCAAGCUUAAAAUCUCUGUCACAAAUUUAUUUUGUGCGGCGAAUUGUAGUCUAUAGAGGCGUGAUCAGUGUAGGCGCUUGAGGUAAGUUCCUUGAAAAAGGACAGCAUGGAGGGUGAAACUCCCGUUCAUACUUAAGUGGCUUGCACGUACGAUUCGUUUUCUUUGAGUCGCGUUGUUUGAGAAUGCAGCGCAAAGUAGGUGGUAAAUUCCAUCUAAAGCUAAAUAUUGGUGCGAGACCGAUAGCGAACAAGUACCGUGAGGGAAAGAUGAAAAGAACUCUGAAAAGAGAGUUAAAGAGUACCUGAAACUGCUGAAAGGGAACCAAAUCGUUUCUAGUGUCUAUAAUCUAUGACAUAUUUCAUUGGGAAGUGUGUGCGUGUGUAUACUAUGGCAGCGGCUUUUUUUAGUUGCGCUUGGUGUGCGUGCUGUAUGUACUAACUGAUGCCCUGUGUUAUAGUGGGACGUCAAGGUCAGUUUGUAUACUGCGGGAAAUGGCUACUGAGGAGGUAGGGCUUACGCUUGCGUUUGUCUAUUAUAUCUUGGUAGUUGUGUCGUGGUUGAGACUGAGGUGUUCUACAACGUGCUUAUGAGUGGGUCUACGUCUCCGUGUGCGCCGUGUGCAGAUAGCUUGCUAUGUGUAUGUGGUGGUGUGUGGAUUGAUAUGGGCUUUAUCUUACUGCCGUUCGGGACUUUGACGAAAUAGAGCGAUUUGACCCGUCUUGAAACACGGACCAAGGAGUCUAACAUAUGUGCAAGUGUUAGGGUGUGGAAACCCCAGCGCGAAAUGAAAGUAAAGGAUAGUGUAAACUAUCUUAGGUAGGAAAYGUUAUGAACUUCGGUUUGUGGCGUGGCACUAUCGACCGAUCAUGAACCCUCGUGGUGAAAGAUUUGAGUUUGAGCACAUAUGUUGGUACCCGAAAGAUGGUGAACUAUGCCUGAGUAGGGUGAAGCCAGGGAAACUC